rnacentral:RNase_P_RNA from 1 species
GGAGAUGGCCCGCGGUCGCUGGAUGAGGGUCUAAAAGAUCUUCAUUCCAGAGGAAAGUCCGGGCUCCACAGGGCAAGGUGGUCCGUAACACGGACCGGGGGUGACCCCAGGGAAAGUGCCACAGAAAACAGACCGCCUGCGGUUGAUACCUAGUGGUAUCAACACAGGUAAGGGUGAAAAGGUGAGGUAAGAGCUCACCAGAUCUCCUGGUGACAGGAGAUGCUUGGUAAACCCCACCUGGAGCAAGGCCAAAUAGGGAGGCGCUCGAGGGUGGCCCGCCCAAAGCCUCCGGGUAGGCUGCUAGAGGUGCUGGGCAACCAGCAUCCCAGAUGAAUGACCGCACCCCAUUCGGGGAACAGAACCCGGCUUAUGGCCAUCUCCAUUU